GAUUAUCGGGUGCUAGACCAUUGUGGAGGGUUACACAAUAUAAGAAUUAAUUUAUAUAACUAUAAUUAUAUAUGGUUGUACAAGGGUACAACAGAGUUUAGAAUGUCAGUUUGGAGUGCUAUACGCACUACUUUAGGUACCUCCCCGGAUGUUGGAUUCACUACAUGCACCACCAAGUGAAAGUUAGGUCCCACGUGGCGUAGGUUAUCCGGCGUUGGGACAGACCCCAUACGUGGCGUUGGUUGUACCGGCGUAUGGGGAGAUUCGUAAUAUGAUGUUCAGGUCUCACGUGGCGUAGGUUAUCCGGCUUUGAGACAGGCCCCGUACGUGGCAUUGGUUGUACCGGCGUACGGGGAGAUUAUGUGAUAUUGUGUUGAGGUCGGACGUGGCGUAGGUUAUCCGGCGUGUCGACAGACCCCAUACGUGGCGUUGGUUGUACCGGCGUAUGGGGAGAUUUGUGAUAUGAUAUUG
rnacentral:lncRNA from 1 species